AGAGUUUGAUCAUGGCUCAGGAUGAACGCUAGCUACAGGCUUAACACAUGCAAGUCGAGGGGCAGCAUGGUCUUAGCUUGCUAAGGCUGAUGGCGACCGGCGCACGGGUGAGUAACGCGUAUCCAACCUUCCCCCUGGUAGGGCAUAGCCCGGCGAAAGUCGGAUUAAUACCCUAUGUUCUCCUUUGAUGACAUCUGACGAGGAGCAAAGAUUUAUCGCCAUGGGAUGGGGAUGCGUCCGAUUAGGUUGACGGCGGGGUGACGGCCCACCGUGCCUGCGAUCGGUAGGGGUUCUGAGAGGAAGGUCCCCCACAUUGGAACUGAGACACGGUCCAAACUCCUACGGGAGGCAGCAGUGAGGAAUAUUGGUCAAUGGGCGUAAGCCUGAACCAGCCAAGUAGCGUGCGGGACGACGGCCCUAUGGGUUGUAAACCGCUUUUGCAGGGGAAUAAAGUGUGGGACGUGUCCCAUUUUGCAUGUACCCUGAGAAUAAGGACCGGCUAAUUCCGUGCCAGCAGCAGC
rnacentral:rRNA from 1 species